AUUGAACGCUGGCGGCAUGCCUUACACAUGCAAGUCGAACGGUAACGGGCCUUCGGGUGCCGACGAGUGGCGAACGGGUGAGUAAUGCAUCGGAACGUACCUUUCAGUGGGGGAUAACGUAGCGAAAGUUACGCUAAUACCGCCUAUUCUGUGAGCAGGAAAGCAGGGGAUCGCAAGACCUUGCGCUGAUUGAGCGGCCGAUGUCAGAUUAGCUAGUUGGUGAGGUAAAGGCUCACCAAGGCGACGAUCUGUAGCGGGUCUGAGAGGAUGAUCCGCCACACUGGAACUGAGACACGGUCCAGACUCCUACGGGAGGCAGCAGUGGGGAAUUUUGGACAAUGGGGGCAACCCUGAUCCAGCCAUGCCGCGCGAGUGAAGAAGGCCUUCGGGUUGUAAAGCUCUUUCGGUCGGGAAGAAAUCGCAUGGGAUAAUACCCUGUGCGGAUGACGGUACCGGCAUAAGAAGCACCGGCUAACUACGUGCCAGCCGCCGCAGUAAUAC
rnacentral:rRNA from 1 species